AGUGAACGCUGGCGGUAGGCCUAACACAUGCAAGUCGAACGGCAGCACAGAGGAGCUUGCUCCUUGGGUGGCGAGUGGCGGACGGGCGAGGAAUACAUCGGAAUCUACUCUGUCGUGGGGGAUAACGUAGGGAAACUUACGCUAAUACCGCAUACGACCUACGGGUGAAAGCAGGGGAUCUUCGGACCUUGCGCGAUUGAAUGAGCCGAUGUCGGAUUAGCUAGUUGGCGGGGUAAAGGCCCACCAAGGCGACGAUCCGUAGCUGGUCUGAGAGGAUGAUCAGCCACACUGGAACUGAGACACGGUCCAGACUCCUACGGGAGGCAGCAGUGGGGAAUAUUGGACAAUGGGCGCAAGCCUGAUCCAGCCAUACCGCGUGGGUGAAGAAGGCCUUCGGGUUGUAAAGCCCUUUUGUUGGGAAAGAAAUCCAGCCGGCUAAUACCUGGUUGGGAUGACGGUACCCAAAGAAUAAGCACCGGCUAACUUCGUGC
rnacentral:rRNA from 1 species